rnacentral:rRNA from 1 species
UACGGAGGGGGUUAGCGUUGUUCGGAAUGACUGGGCGUAAAGCGCGCGUAGGCGGAUCUUUAAGUCAGGGGUGAAAUCCUGGAGCUCAACUCCAGAACUGCCUUUGAUACUGAGGAUCUUGAGUCCGGGAGAGGUGAGUGGAACUCCGAGUGUAGAGGUGAAAUUCGUAGAUAUUCGGAAGAACACCAGUGGCGAAGGCGGCUCACUGGCCCGGUACUGACGCUGAGGUGCGAAAGCGUGGGGAGCAAACAGG